ACCCGCUGAACUUAAGCAUAUCAAUAAGCGGAGGAAAAGAAACUAACAAGGAUUCCCCUAGUAACGGCGAGUGAAGAGGGAAAAGCUCAAAUUUUGAAUCUGGUGUCUUUGACUCCCGAGUUGUAAUCUAGAGAAGUGUUUUCCGUGUCGGACCGUGUACAAGUUCCCUGGAACGGGGCGUCAUAGAGGGUGAGAAUCCCGUAUAUGC
rnacentral:rRNA from 1 species